AUACGGAGGGGACUAGCAUUGUUCGGAAUUACUGGGCGUAAAGAGUUCGUAGGCGGAUAAGCAAGUAAGAGGUGAAAGCCCAGGGCUCAACCCUGGAACUGCCUUUUAAACCGCUUAUCUAGAGACCGGUAGAGGUUAGGGGAAUACCUUGUGUAGAGGUGAAAUUCGUAGAUAUUAGGUGGAACACCAGUGGCGAAGGCGCCUAACUGGACCGGUACUGACGCUGAGGAACGAAAGCGUGGGGAGCAAACAGGAUUAGAUACCCUAGUAGUCC
rnacentral:rRNA from 1 species